UUGCAGUAUUUUUGUGUGGAGUGUUUUUCUAUUUCUUAACAAAAAGGGAACAAAGGUGUUUAAGUUCACCUAGGAUGAUUUGUCUUAACUUUCACAUGGUCUUACUGAGGUGAUGUGAAUUGAAACAUGCAUUUUUUUUUGGCGGUGAGGGAGGAAUGUGCUGGAAAAGUUUGAAAAGGGACCUUGAAAGUGCUUAAGAAGUGCUUGAAUUUGACCCUGAAAAAGGCAUAUGAACCCUGAUCAUUAUCAUUAGCCUGUGUAAGUCCUGAGUGUCCUCCAGUUCAGUGUCUUUGUCAGUCCCACAUGUGUCGUUUCUGUUCAGCUGGUCUUCCAGUCAGUCAUCCAUCUCAGGCUCUGUCAUUCUGUCAUAAACACCAGCCUUCACCACCUGUGAGUCCUGCGUUUGGGUCCUCUCUUCUCCACAUCCACACUGCGAUGCUGUGACAUAUUCAGUACAUAAAAUCAAAAUUCACGUUUUAUGCAACUAAAGUGUUUCAUUAUGUAGGCUACAGAACAUAAUUCAGUUAUAGACGAUAUAUGAAACAUGUAUACUUACUGCAUUUGAAUCAUUUAAACCAUAUGUGAUAUAAACACCUGCACGUGUGUUUGAAAAAACAAACGCUUUGAUUUUGACACCCCAAGAAAAUCUUCCUAGAUCUGCACGUGUUCAGAGUAAGAGCCGAAUAAACAGCAGCAGAAGCUGAUUGAUGAACAGCUGAAUGACAUAUCAGCUGUAGCUGCAGCAUCUGCACAGAGUUUGAUUGGCUAACGCUGAUUUGUUUGUUUUUUUUAAACAGGACAGCAGAGAGAGAGGAGGAGAUGAAGAGUGCAGCAGAUUGAUGAAACAGUGAAGAAGAGAAAGAUGAUGGAAGAACCUAAAGAACAGCCAGCCAAAGCAGCUCCAUCAGCAGAGGAGGAGCUUGCCAGGGUACGGUCAGCCUUUGUCUGGAGGGUAACAAUAGAAAUCCUUAAACUGCUCCUUGAGGCCCUUGUAAGUGAUGGUAUCUUAAAUAAGUUGGAGGAAGAAUCGAUACUGGAGGGGAACCCACUCAGAGCAGACAAGGCACGCAGCUUGAUCGACACAGUGAGGAAAAAAGGAGACAAAGCAUGCAAGAUAACAAUCAAGCAUCUUCAGAUCAAAGAUCCUUUUCUUUUCUCUCAGCUGCGUUUGAACUCUGAUCCAUCUGCUCAACAAGGUGAGGUCAUGCAUCAGAUACCAUGAAUAAAAAUGGUCACCUUGCAGUUUGUUGAGAUGUGAAAGUGAAACCUCAGAAUUCAUUGUAAGAAAAAGGAGAGGGCAAGAACGUCAUUCUACGACGAAUGUUUGGAUUUGUUACAUGCCUGCAAAUGUAUUUUCUAAACUACAUGGAGGAAUUUUGAUGAUCGUCAUAAACCUGUGAAACUACUUAGAUCUAAUGUGAGCUGUAUUUAAUUAAACACAAGUGUUCUUUACUUUUAAAAACCAUGCAAACUGAUUGCCUUAAAAAAGAAAAGUCAGAGUGUUUCUCUAACAAGAGGACACU